rnacentral:rRNA from 1 species
UGGGGAAUUUUGGACAAUGGGCGAAAGCCUGAUCCAGCAAUGCCGCGUGUGUGAAGAAGGCCUUCGGGUUGUAAAGCACUUUUGUCCGGAAAGAAAUCCUUGGCUCUAAUACAGUCGGGGGAUGACGGUACCGGAAGAAUAAGCACCGGCUAACUACGUGCCAGCAGCCGCGGUAAUACGUAGGGUGCAAGCGUUAAUCGGAAUUACUGGGCGUAAAGCGUGCGCAGGCGGUUUGCUAAGACCGAUGUGAAAUCCCCGGGCUCAACCUGGGAACUGCAUUGGUGACUGGCAGGCUAGAGUAUGGCAGAGGGGGGUAGAAUUCCACGUGUAGCAGUGAAAUGCGUAGAGAUGUGGAGGAAUACCGAUGGCGAAGGCAGCCCCCUGGGCCAAUACUGACGCUCAUGCACGAAAGCGUGGGGAGCAAACAGGAUUAGAUACCCUGGUAGUCCACGCCCUAAACGAUGUCAACUAGUUGUUGGGGAUUCAUUUCCUUAGUAACGUAGCUAACGCGUGAAGUUGACCGCCUGGGGAGUACGGUCGCAAGAUUAAAACUCAAAUGAAUUGAUGGGGUCAUAGCUGUUUCCU